rnacentral:rRNA from 1 species
GACGAACCGUACGAACGUUAUUCGGAAUCACUGGGCUUAAAGGGUGCGUAGGCGGCGCGGAAAGUAGGGUGUGAAAUCCCUCGGCUCAACCGAGGAACUGCGCUCUAAACUACCGUGCUCGAGGGAGAUAGAGGUGAGCGGAACUUAGGGUGGAGCGGUGAAAUGCGUUGAUAUCCUAAGGAACACCGGUGGCGAAAGCGGCUCACUGGAUCUCUUCUGACGCUGAAGCGCGAAAGCUAGGGGAGCAAACAGG